rnacentral:rRNA from 1 species
ACAGUUUGAUCAUGGCUCAGAUUGAACGCUGGCGGUAUGCUUAACACAUGCAAGUCGAACGGUAACAGGCUAGCUUGCUAGCGCUGACGAGUGGCGGACGGGUGCGUAACGCGUAGGAAUCUGCCUAUUAGUGGGGGACAACAUGGUGAAAACCAUGCUAAUACCGCAUACGCCCUACGGGGGAAAGCAGGGGAUCUUCGGACCUUGCGCUAAUAGAUGAGCCUGCGUUAGAUUAGCUAGUUGGUAGGGUAAUGGCCUACCAAGGCGACGAUCUAUAGCUGGUCUGAGAGGACGAUCAGCCACACUGGGACUGAGACACGGCCCAGAUUCCUACGGGAGGCAGCAGCGGGGAAUAUUGGACAAUGGACGAAAGUCUGAUCCAGCAAUACCGCGUGUGUGAAGAAGGCCUGAGGGUUGUAAAGCACUUUCAAUUGGGAGGAAAACAGGCAGGUCAAUAUCCUGUCUCUUGACAUUACCUUUAGAAGAAGCACCGGCUAACUCCGUGCCAGCAGCCGCGGUAAUACGGAGGGUGCAAGCGUUAAUCGGAAUUACUGGGCGUAAAGCGUUCGUAGGUGGUUAGUUAAGUUAGAUGUGAAAGCCCCGGGCUUAA